rnacentral:rRNA from 1 species
UACGUAGGGGGCAAGCGUUGUCCGGAAUCAUUGGGCGUAAAGCGCGCGUAGGCGGCCCGGUAAGUCCGUUGUGAAAGUCAAAGGCUCAACCUUUGAACGCCGAUGGAUACUGCCGGGCUAGAGUCCGGAAGAGGCGAGUGGAAUUCCUGGUGUAGCGGUGGAAUGCGCAGAUAUCAGGAGGAACACCAAUAGCGAAGGCAGCUCGCUGGGACGGUACUGACGCUGG